UGGGGAAUAUUGCACAAUGGGCGCAAGCCUGAUGCAGCCAUGCCGCGUGUGUGAAGAAGGCCUUCGGGUUGUAAAGCACUUUCAGCGAGGAGGAAGGUGGUGAACUUAAUACGUUCAUCAAUUGACGUUACUCGCAGAAGAAGCACCGGCUAACUCCGUGCCAGCAGCCGCGGUAAUACGGAGGGUGCAAGCGUUAAUCGGAAUUACUGGGCGUAAAGCGCACGCAGGCGGUUUGUUAAGUCAGAUGUGAAAUCCCCGGGCUCAACCUGGGAACUGCAUUUGAAACUGGCAAGCUAGAGUCUCGUAGAGGGGGGUAGAAUUCCAGGUGUAGCGGUGAAAUGCGUAGAGAUCUGGAGGAAUACCGGUGGCGAAGGCGGCCCCCUGGACGAAGACUGACGCUCAGGUGCGAAAGCGUGGGGAGCAAACAGGAUUAGAUACCCCUGGUUAGUCCAGCGCUGUAAAACCGAUUGUCGAUUUUGGAGGUUGUGCCCUUGAGGCGUGGCUUCCGGAGCUAACGCGUUAAAUCGACCGCCUGGGGAGUACGGCCGCAAGGUUAAAACUCAAAGGAAUUGCGGGGUCUAGCUGUUUCCU
rnacentral:rRNA from 1 species